UACAGAGGUCUCAAGCGUUGUUCGGAUUCAUUGGGCGUAAAGGGUGCGUAGGCGGCGCGGUAAGUCGGGUGUGAAAUCUUGGAGCUUAACUCCGAAACUGCAUUCGAUACUGCCGUGCUUGAGGACUGGAGAGGAGACUGGAAUUUACGGUGUAGCGGUGAAAUGCGUAGAUAUCGUAAGGAAGACCAGUGGCGAAGGCGGGUCUCUGGACAGUUCCUGACGCUCAGGCACGAAAGCGUGGGGAGCAAACAGG
rnacentral:rRNA from 1 species